rnacentral:sRNA from 1 species
CCAAGAGGGGCGGAUGCCUGCGUUUGAGAAACAGGAGCUGCUGGAGAUUAGGAGCCGCCGGGGAGGAGCUGGAGGUCUCCAGCAGCUGGGCCCUGGGCCAGCUGGGGCCGCGCAGCGCUGACGGCCAGUCUCGGCCUCCCCGCCCUGCAGGCCUGCGGAACCCGCUGCAGAGGCGUCAGAGGAGGCCGAGCGGCGCGCCCGUGGCUGCCACCUGCAGUACCAGCGCGCCGGUGUGCGCUUCCUCGCCCCCUUCGCGGCCCACCCGCUGGACGGCGGCCGCCGCCUCACACACCUACUUGGCCCCGACUGGCUGCUAGACGUGUCCCACCUUGUGGCGCCACACGCCCGCGUGCUGGACCCGCGUGUAGCCUUGCUGGAGGGCGGCCGUGUCCUGGUGGGCCGGGAGCCCGGUGUCACCUCCAUUGAGGUGCGUUCCCCACUGUCUGACUCCAUCCUGGGGGAGCAGGCGCUGGCUGUGACGGACGACAAGGUCUCAGUGCUGGAGCUCAGGGUGCAGCCAGUGAUGGGCAUCUCGCUGACCUUGAGCCGGGGCACUGCCCACCCCGGGGAGGUCACAGCCACGUGCUGGGC